CGCUGCAGCCUGUAGGAAGGCGGAGUUGGACAUCCAACCCCGCCCACAUCCAACUCCGCCCAUGUCCAACUCCGCCUUACGUCUAAAGCAACACCCACCUUACGUCCGUCACGAACGCCUACAUUUACUCCCGGUAAACAGGAAUUGUAGCCGAGAAAGCAGCUAAAGCAUCUAUCUGAUUUAUAUCUCCGGUUAUGGCGCAUCCAACACAUGUCCAGGCCACUCCUGACCCUUCACGGUUUGGCCAGUGUGGUGUUUUCAAAUGCCCCUGCUUCAGUUUUGACACUGACCAGCGAUUUAAUAACAGCCUACAUCUACAAAACCAUAUCAAACAAGCAGUCGAGAAUAACGGAAAGUUCAGCGUGUUGAACGUGUGACUGAUGAAGGAGAUAGAAUGGGCAACGUCUCCUUUGAACAGAUGCCCCUUAUUCUCAUAGAUACAGUUCUGGAAGAGGGUGACAAAGCUUUUUUAAAGCUGUCACUGGUUUGUCGUCUCUUCCGGGACAUUGUUUGGACAACAAUCAUUCCGGGCCUGGGCACAUUUCGAGUGGCUUGACAGUGUAGUGCCAUGAAAACAUCACAGUGCUGCAUGUAAAGACGAGUUUCGCAGGAUGUACGAACUGCAGUGCUGCCAGAACUGUCAAGAAACUUAUAAAGACUGCAUACUGGGCUACGUUGGGCAUGGGAGACGAGGGGAGCUUGUGGCAUUUUACAGCGAAAACGAGCACCCUGGAUUCUGCAGCCAGCUUCAUGAGUGGCUGGGUGUGUGAGUGGCUGGGUGUGUGAGUGGCUGGGUGUGUGAGUGGCAGGGUGUGUGAGUGGCAGGGUGUGUGAGUGGCAGGGUGUGUGAGUGGCAGGGUGUGUGAGUGGCAGGGUGUGUGAGUGGCAGGGUGUGUGAGUGGCAGGGUGUGUGAGUGGCAGGGUGUGUGAGUGGCAGGGUGUGUGAGUGGCUGGGUGUGUGAGUGGCUGGGUGUGUGAGUGGCUGGGUGUGUGAGUGGCUGGGUGUGUGAGUGGCUGGGUGUGUGAGUGGCUGGGUGUUGCAUUUUUAAAUAAAGACUUCUGUAUUUGUUUGACCAAAGCAUGUAACCAAACAUUUUAAAGGCUAGUGUGCCAAUAAAUGCCAAUAAAGAUAUUGUAUUAGCUUGGACAAAGUGUUUGUAAAUGGAGUUAAUUUCCCUGGGAACUACUGUCAGCCAUACAAAAUUGGGAGAGGAGAAGCAGGAAAGGGAUAUUAUUAUUAUUAUUAUUAUUAUUAUUAUUAUUAUUGACAAAAUAGCUAUGUAUACAUACAUUUUUAAUUUCUGAAACCACAGCAUUUGAUAUAUUGUACUCUAUCGUUAUACACUAUCCAGCAUACCAUUAUUACCACCUGCUUGUUUCUGCUUCUAUUAUUCUUUUUUUAGCUCCAAUUAGCAUCUAGGACACUUUAGUUGCAUAAUGGUUUACUGGUGUAUAAUAUAC